rnacentral:rRNA from 1 species
GACGAACGCUGGCGGCGUGCUUAACACAUGCAAGUCGAGCGGAGCGGCGAACGGGUGAGUAACGCGUGUGUAACUGCCCCCCUCCCUGGGAUAACAGUUGGAAACGGCUGCUAAUACCGGAUAGUGGGGGAUGACUCGCGUCCGAUCAGCUUGUUGGUGGGGUAGUGGCCUACGAAGGCGGAGACGGGUAGCCGGCAGGAGAGGGGGAUCGGCCACAUUGGGCUGAGAUACGGGCCAGUCGCCUACGGGAGGCAUCAGUGGGGAAUAUUGUACAAUGGGGGAAACCCUGAUGCAGCAACGCCGCGUGCGGGAUGACGGCCUUCGGGUUGUAAACCGCUUUCAGCCAUGACGCGGUAGUGGCAGAAGAAGCACCGGCUAACUACGUGCCAGCAGCCGCGGUAAUUC